UCCCCGGCGUCAGGUUGUCAAGAAUGGAGAACUACAGGAUUUUGGAACGAAUCGGAAAGGGUGGACAGGGGUCUGUACAUCUCGUAGAUCACAGAGAGGAUGGAAACAGGUCUGUUUUGAAAAAGGUUGAAUGUCACGAUGAGAGUGAGGCCAACAAGGCCUUCAAGGAGGCCAUGGCGCUGCGGCAGCUGCAGCAUCCCUAUGUGUGCGGCUACAAGGAGUUCUUCGUCAUGUGGGAUAAGGAGGAGUCAUCGAUGUUCGUGUGCAUCGUGAUGGACUACUACAGCAAGGGGGACCUGAAGAAGAUCAUUCAGCAGUACCAGAAGGACAAGCAGCCCAUGGAGGAAGAGGUUGUGAAGAGGUACCUGGGGGAAAUUCUGGAGGCACUUAUAUUUGUACACAGAAAAGGUGUCAUUCACAGGGAUCUGAAGCCAAGCAACAUCUUCAUUCAAGAUAACGACAGCAUCUGCCUCGGGGACUUCGGCGUUGCAACCAUCAUGGGUGACGCCAAGACAUGCACCAGGAACACAGUGGGCACGACCAACUACAUGGCGCCGGAGGUCCAGAACAAUCCGUACGACGAGAGAAGUGAUAUGUGGGCCCUGGGCUGUAUCCUGUUUGAGAUGACGACGACGGCCAUGUUUGAUGGUGUCAUGGUGGCCACGAAGCUGAAGGAAGUAAAGGACGACCCUGGCGUGCUGGAGGAGAUCUUCGAGGAUGUGGCCAAGCAUUUUUCGGGCGACUUGAUCACUGCUAUCCGUCAGAUGCUCAAGUACAACCCCACGCGGAGGCCGACGGCUGAGCAGCUGGUGGAGAAGUGUGCAUACAUCAAGAAGUGUGUCGAGGCCAGGGACUCCUCCAUGUUGGAGAAGAGGAGGAGACAGGCCCAGACGGAAGAAAAGAAAAUCGAUCCUCUAACAUCCGAGUCCCCCGGGAUCCUGGUCGUCCUGGAACACAUCGCCAAUAUGAUUGACAAUGAGGACUGCGUCAAGGAUGGCAUGGAACACCUGGUAGAGCUCACCAAACAAGAUGGCGUCCUCCUAGAGGAGAACAGCAAACGUCUGAUUGCCGCGGCGAUGAGGAAUAACAUCAACAACAAGACUAUACAAAUAGCAGGCUGCAAUGUGUUCAAUAACGUCAUCGUUUCAGUGUUGGAAAUAUGCGCCCGGUUCGGGAAGGCGGAGCCUGCUCAGACUGGGGAUGUUCUGUUCACAUCUGAAAUCAUCUCUGUCAUUAUCCUCGCCAUGAAGACUCACCCAAGCUGUUCGGAGUUGCAGCAAACUGCAGCAGCUAUACUCAUGGCGUUGUCAGCAGACAAUAGGGCAGGCGAGCUGAUCGGCAGUUUGGGCGGUAUAGCUCAGAUACUGUGUGCCAUGAGGACCCAUCUACAGAACCCCGAGCUGUGUGCCACCUGUUGCAGCGCCAUCUGGAGUCUCACAGUCAAUGAAAAUAACUUGCAGACAGCGUACGACAGUCAAGCUCUUGAGACGAUAUGCUCGGCGAUGAAGACACAUCCUGCGUCGCAGGAGGUGGCAGAUGCUGCAUGUGCGGCCCUCUUCUCUCUCUGUUUGGAUGAAAAGAGUUUUGACGUUGUGAAUGACCUGGACACUGUGGGCCUACUUCUCAGUGCAAUAGAAACACACGACAAGAGCGCCAAAGUGGUGAAGAACGCCUGCAUGGCACUGUCUGGACUGGUGGAACCAGAUGAGGAGUGUGCAUACCGAGUACUGACAAGCGAGGGGGGGAGUGAGGCAGCAGAGAGUAAGGACGGCAUCCCCGUCAUCAUGAGGGCGUAUGAGCUGCACAAGGACAACGCCGAUGUUGUGGAAUCUAUUGUCACUCUCAUCAUGGAACUCACAGAAUAUGAUGAUAUUUGUAAGGAUUUAUUGAGCUUCAAAGUACCUGCACUCAUAAAAGAGAUUCAGUUGAAGUUUAAUAAGAAUGAGAUGACAUGAACGCUGAAAUGCACCACCUAGCGGUGGGAUCCCACAUACUGCUCCCCACUCACAAACGUUUCCGGGACAACAGGGACAUCAUGAAGCCGUGUGAGGCGGCCAUGCAGAAGCUCGGAGUCAACAAGCCAUUAUAGACAGCC
rnacentral:misc_RNA from 1 species